AUUUAAAUAGUUUAAAAAUAAAACAUAAUAUUGAAGAUAUUAAAACAACUAAAAGUUUUUAAAUA
rnacentral:tRNA from 1 species